rfam:Schistosoma mansoni strain Puerto Rico chromosome W, complete genome
AUCCAGCUGACGAGUCUCAAAUAGGACGAAACGCGCGUCAAAAUGGAU